GGCGGGUCUCCCCGCAUUGUGCAAUAGCGAACCUGGUCAGGUCCGGAAGGAAGCAGCCACAGUUAUUUCGCACAAGUGCCGGGGGUCAGGCUCGCCACC
rnacentral:SRP_RNA from 2 species